rnacentral:snRNA from 1 species
AUAUUUACCUGGCAGGGGAGAUACCAUGAUCAUGAAGGUGGUUUUCCCAGGGCGGGAUAUACCCAAUGCACUCUGGGUGUGCUGACACCUGUGAUUUCCCCAAAUGUGGGAAACUCGACGGCAUAAUUUGUGGUAGUGGGGGACUGCGUUCCCACUCUCCCCCG